GAAAAUCAGAGGCUCUCCAUCAUUGUUUAAUUCUGUUUAAUUUCAUUAACUAUAUACAUCCAAGGAACUGCUGCACAGACGUGUUCCACAAGUGAAGUCCUAUCAUGUGCCACAACGUACUCUAACGCUGUUCUUGCUGCUGGUAAUGAUUAUGGAAAAAUUUGCAGUGAAGCUCAGACGUAUCUGAACUGUCUAGACAAUGUACUGACUGCCUGUGGCUCACAGGACUCAACAACUAAUUUUGCAAAACAAUACGUCGACCUAGCAAGGCAAGCCCUCAACCAAUACGGUUGUGGUGCUGCUGGCCUCAUAUUUAAUCUGCUGGUCAUGGUUUUAGGGCUGGCAUUUACAUUCAUUUUCAAAACUUUCAAUGAUUGAAAAUCAUUGAAACAUUUUAAAACAAAAUUUGUAACGCACAAUCUAGACUUUAUAUUAGAUGAAUUUUAUCUAUGUGUAUUAAUUUUUGUAGUCACUUAGAUAUGUAUUUAAAGCUUAUAUCAUUUUGAAAAAAAAACUAAAAAUGUUUGCCGUGAGUUGAACUGUUUAUUAACUUUAUGAAACCCAGUGAUCACCCUAUGUUUUGAAAAAUGAGUUAAAACAACAGCGUGUAAAAAUUUCUAAAAAA